AGGGAACUGAGAGAGAGACUUGGAGAUGCUAGCCAUGGAGAUUAGGCUAGUGUGCCCACAAGUCAAGGAAUGCUGGCAGCCACCAGAAGCUGGAAGGGGCAAGGAAUGGAUUCUCCCCUAGAAAUUUCAGUGUUGGAAAUGUGGCCCUACCGACACCUUGAUUGUGGCCCCAUGAUGUUGAAGUUGUACUUUGGGACUCCAGAACUUUGAGAGAAUAAAUCUCAGUUUUCGAAGCCACUAAAUUUGUGGUAAUUUGUUACCUCAGCCACAGGAAAUGAAUACAGGACAGAAAACAGAUCAGUGGUUUCCAGGGCUUGGCACUCCCCAGGGUGCUGCCAUGGUUCUGUAGCCUAUUUGUAGUGGUGGUUACAAGAAUCUAGGCAUAUGUCAAAAUUCAUAAAAAUUAAACACCAAAAAACUGAAUACUACUGUAUUUAAAAUUUUUAAAAAUCAAUCAAUCAAUCAUUCAGGCCAAGUGCGGUGGCUCAUGCCGGUAAUCCCAGCACUUUGGGAGGCCGAGGUGGGCAGAUCACUUGCGGUGAGAAGUUCGAGACCAGCCUGACCAAUAUAGUAAAACCCGUCUUUACUAAAAAUACAAAAAUUAUCUAGGUGUAGUGGCAGGCGCCUGUAGUCUCAGCUACUCAAGAGGCUGAGGCAGGAGAAUUGCUUGAACCCAGGAGGCAGAGGUUGCCAUGAGCCGAGAUCACACCACUGCACUCCAGCCUGGGUGACAGAGCAUGACUCCAUCUCAAAGAAAAAAAAAUCAAUCAAUCAAUAAAAACUUAAAAUUAAAAAAUCUAUAUACUGGGGUCUCAAAAGAAGAAGUGGUCCCAGCCUCCUCCAAGCUCUGAGAGGCCCUGGAAGAAUGCUGAGGGGAAGCCAGGUCUCCAGCCCGUGUGACUCCAGGGCCAUUACAGGAAGUGGAGAAAGGGAUUGGUGUGAGGUGUGUGUGUGUGGAGGGGAGGAAUCAUCAAGCUGUCCUAGACACAGUGAACUUGAGGAGACCUAAGGCUUUCCAGGUGGUGAUGUGGAAGGCAGUUGGAAACCAUGUCUCUGGGAGAGGCAGAACAGUGUGUAGGAGACACGCGAGUGCACUGAUUAUGAGCAUAGAUUUUCACAUAACGCAACGUAUAUGAGCUAUGUGGCUUUGGCAAGUUACUUAGCCUCUCUGAACCUCAGUUUCAUCUUCUUUAAAAUGGGACAAUCCUCAAGCAAGGAUUCCAUGAGGGAACGGCAGUAAACACUUAACCUUGUGCCUGCCACGUGAUAGAGCAGGAAACAUGAGCUGGGACAAUUAUUGUCAGGACAGUGAUUGACCUCGAAGUGACUUAGAAUUGGAUUUGGGAUCAUUGCAGAGAUUCAAGAUGGAUGCCACAGGAGUGGUGAGGGCCUGCAGAAGAGACUGAAGACUAGAGGGUGGAGGCAGAGCUGGAGAUGAGGGGCUGCUCUGGAGGCAGGAGCACAGCCAGGUAGCUGAAAGAGGAUGCAAUGGUGUGUAUUCGUUUGCUAGGGCAAACUAAUAUGUUUGCUGCCAUAACACAGUACCACAAACUAGGUAGUUGAGAACAACAGAAAUCUAUCUCACAGUUCUGGAGGUCAGAAGUCUGAGAUCAAGGUCCGUGGAGUUGGUUCUUUCCGGGGGCUCAGAGAGGUUAUCAGACUUAUCCAAGUCAC
rnacentral:lncRNA from 10 species